AUGUUCUUAAUGUUAUUUUCCAAAAAAUUCUUUUUUAGAGAAAAAUACCGAGAAAACCAGAUGCAGCUAGACUGGUCAAUGUUCUGUGUUAUUCAGGUUUCAGCUGCAUCAGGAAAUGUUUCAGCAAGUUUUGUGUGGGAUCAUAUUUGCUUUGAGAGGCUGUUGGACUGAUUUCUUCUGUGAGCCUGUACAUGUAGAGAAACACUGUAGGUGAUAGAGAGACAUCAUAUCGGACAAGCAGCUGCAAGAAAAGAUUUUCUAGUCCAAAUGAAUACAGUUCACAUUGAUUGAGAAUAAAAUUCUUGCUUCUCAAUGCA
rnacentral:lncRNA from 1 species